rnacentral:rRNA from 1 species
GUCCACGCCGUAACUAUGGAUGCUAGCCGUUGGUAAGCAUGCUUAUCAGUGGCGCAGCUAACGCAUUAAGCAUCCCGCCUGGGAGUACGGCCGCAAGGUUGAAACUCAAAGGAAUUGACGGGGCCCGCACAAGCGGUGGAGCAUGUGGUUUAAUUCGACGCAACGCGCAGAACCUUACCAGGGUUUGACAUCCCGCGCUAAGCCCCAGAGAUGGGUGUCCCCCGCAAGGGGCGCGGAGACAGGUGCUGCAUGGCUGUCGU